rnacentral:rRNA from 1 species
CUGAUGGCGACCGGCGCACGGGUGCGUAACGCGUAUGCAACCUACCUGUAACAGGGGGAUAACACUGAGAAAUCGGUACUAAUACCGCAUAACACUAUGAGAGGCAUCUCUUGUGGUUGAAAGUUUCGGCGGUUACAGAUGGGCAUGCGUUGUAUUAGCUGGUUGGUAAGGUAACGGCUUACCAAGGCGACGAUACAUAGGGGGACUGAGAGGUUAACCCCCCACAUUGGUACUGAGACACGGACCAAACUCCUACGGAAGGCAGCAG